rnacentral:rRNA from 1 species
AUUGAACGCUGGCGGCAUGCUUUACACAUGCAAGUCGAACGGUAACAGGCCUUCGGGCGCUGACGAGUGUCGAACGGGUGAGUAAUGCAUCGGAACGUGCCCAGUCGUGGGGGAUAACGCAGCGAAAGCUGUGCUAAUACCGCAUACGAUCUGCGGAUGAAAGCGGGGGACCUUCGGGCCUCGCGCGAUUGGAGCGGCCGAUGUCAGAUUAGGUAGUUGGUGGGGUAAAGGCCCACCAACCCGACGCACUGUAGCUGGUCUGAGAGGACGACCAGCCACACUGGGACUGAGACACGGCCCAGAGUCCUACGGGAGGCAGAAGUGGGGAAUUGUGGACAAUGGGCGCAAGCCUGAUCCAGCAAUGCCGCGUGCCGGAAGAAGGCCUUCGGGUUGUAAACCGCUUUUGUACGGAGCGAAAAGGCUCCCGCUAAUACAGGGGGCUCAUGACGGUACCGUAAGAAUAAGCACCGGCUAACUACGUGCCAGCAGCCGCAGUAA